rnacentral:rRNA from 1 species
AGAGUUUGAUCCUGGCUCAGAAUGAACGCUGGCGGCGUGCUUAACACAUGCAAGUCGAACGAGAAAGUUCUUCGGAACGAGUAGAGUGGCGAACUGGUGAGUAACGCGUAAGAAUUUGCCCUUCAGUGAAGAAUACCCUCGAGAAAUCGAGGCUAAUACUGCAUACGUCCCUUCGGGGAGAAAGGUGGCCUCUUGCUACCGCUGAUGGAUGAGCUUGCGUAUUAUUAGCUUGUUGGUGAGGUAAAGGCUCACCAAGGCUGUGAUGAUUAGCCGGCCUGAGAGGGUGACCGGCCACAUUGGGACUGAGAUACGGCCCAGACUCCUACGGGAGGCAGCAGUGGGGAAUCUUGCACAAUGGACGAAAGUCUGAUGCAGCGACGCCGCGUGGAGGAUGACGGUUUUCGGAUUGUAAACUCCUGUUAAGAGGGAAGAAAGGCGUGCGAUUAAUAUUCGCACGAGAUGACGGUACCUCUAGAGAAAGCUCCGGCUAACUUCGUGCCAGCAGCCGCGGUAAUACGAAGGGAGCGAGCGUUAUUCGGAAUUACUGGGCGUAAA